CGAACGCUGGCGGCAGGCCUAACACAUGCAAGUCGAGCGCGCCUUUCGGGGUGAGCGGCGGACGGGUUAGUAACGCGUGGGAAUAUACCCUUUUCUACGGAAUAGCCUCUGGAAACGGAGAGUAAUACCGUAUGAGCCCUUCGGGGGAAAGAUUUAUCGGGAAAGGAUUAGCCCGCGUUAGAUUAGGUAGUUGGUGGGGUAAUGGCCUACCAAGCCUACGAUCUAUAGCUGGUUUUAGAGGAUGAUCAGCAACACUGGGACUGAGACACGGCCCAGACUCCUACGGGAGGCAGCAGUGGGGAAUCUUGGACAAUGGGGGCAACCCUGAUCCAGCCAUGCCGCGUGAGUGAUGAAGGCCUUAGGGUCGUAAAGCUCUUUCGCCUGUGAAGAUAAUGACGGUAGCAGGUAAAGAAACCCCGGCUAACUCCGUGCCAGCAGCCGCGGUAAU
rnacentral:rRNA from 1 species